UACGUAGGGUGCAAGCGUUUGUCCGGAAUUAUUGGGCGUAAAGAGCUCGUAGGCGGUUUGUUGCGUCGGCUGUGAAAUCCCGAGGCUCAACCUCGGGUCUGCAGUCGAUACGAGCAAACUAGAGUGUUGCAGGGGAGACUGGAAUUCCUGGUGUAGCGGUGAAAUGCGCAGAUAUCAGGAGGAACACCGAUGGCGAAGGCAGGUCUCUGGGCCACUACUGACGCUGAGAAGCGAAAGCAUGGGGAGCGAACAGG
rnacentral:rRNA from 1 species